rnacentral:lncRNA from 1 species
GUAACUUUUACUAAAAUGGUAACAUCUAAUGUUCCCUUUAAGCUCCCCAUGGACUGGUGCACAUAAUAAAGCCCGCUCAGAGAAACACAAGUUUGAACCUCACUCAACAUUCAGGAGUUUUCCCUGUUAGUUAACACCACCAAUGUUUUUCUUUACUGUGAGAAUUGUGAUCGAAUCAAUGUAAUAUUAGCCACGUUUAGUGCAACAUACCGAAACAAAAACAAACUAUGCAAGACGAAGUAUGCAAAACGAACUAUGCAAGCGAUUUUGUUGUAGGCAGAAAGCAUCAGAGUAGGAUUCUAUUGCAUUGACAGGCACGGCUCAGGCCCAUACUCUAUACAGACCCGCGCGCCAUAAGCAAUCAGAGCUGCAGUAGGCCUAUAAGCAAAUAGACUAAUAGACCAUUGCAAAAUAAACCUGUGCCAUUCACUUUGAACUGGACUGUGUUUACAGAAUGAGCGGUCAUGAGUAGAUGCGCUUGUUUUGAGAUCAAAGCGAGCCACUUGUGCACAUUUGUGCUAGUUAGUGAGUUAUUAGCCCAGUUAAAGACAAUUUGUAGUCCACAACAGCCUACUUGACCACUGUUAAUACUGUAACUUAAAACGCGCACAACCUCUGUGUUCACAGUAAACGUGCUGGAAGUUGCACAAAAUAUUCACAACAUUUAAAUUUGUGCUUAGCAGGCCUGAAAUUUGCUCAUUGCUGGAAAAAAAUUGAGGGAACAUUGGUAACAUCUAUAUUAAAAUACCAUAACCCACAUACUUGACUAUAGUAAUGCUAAAAUAGACUAGGCUUUGGUCUAUCUGCACAUCUAAAAUCAUACUAUAUGGAUGGGACAUUUCUGCCGGGAUGGGGGAAUUAUCUGGAAUGCUCAACUAGAUGAUCAGGACAGUCUAGGGUAAUAUUUGCCCGAAGAGGUGAAGUAUUGCAAUAAGCUAUACGACUGUACUUCUGAUUUGAAUUCUCAAGAGGAAAGUUAAAGCCCUCGGCCUGAAGAAACUGUGGAGGAGCAACAGUUAUAGGGGGAUUGUCUGAAAGGGACUGACAUGCAGGGAUGGAACGGGCUAGGCGUCCCGCUAGCAGGGCAACUUCCGGUGAAACUGGAGGGCGCGUAAUUCAAAUAAAUAAUCAUACAAAUUAUGGAUAUUAAACAUUCAGGUACAUAUAAGUGUCUUAUAUUGGUUGAAAUCUUAAAUUCUUGUUAAUCUAACUGCGCUGUCUGAUUUACAGUAGCUAUUACAGCGAAAACAUGCCAUGCGAUUGUUUGAGGACAGCGCCACAUCAAAAUAUUUUUCCACCGGCACAGGUUUCAUAAAUUCACAAAUAGCGAUUAAAUAUUCACUUACUUUUUGAAAAUCUUCCUCUGAUUUGUCAUCCAAAGUGUCCCAGCUAUAACAUGUAGUGUCGUUUUGUUAGAUAAAAUCCCUCUUUAUAUCCCAAAAAGUCAGUUUAGUUGGCGCCAUCGAUUUGAGUAACCCACUCGUUCAACAUGUAGAGAAAGGAAUCCGAAAAUCUAAACUUUGUUUCAACAAGUCAAAAUACGUUUCUAUUUACUCCUCAGAUACCCUAAAAUGUAAUAUUUCUUACAGAAGGAAGUAUGUUCAAUAGCAAUCCGAUUUUAGCAGGUGCGUCCUGUCUUCGAGGCGCCCGCAAACACGAAUUUCCAAGACUGUGUCCUACUACUAAAACUGUUAUUUCUUAUUCAUUUUUGAAGUUACACGCCUGAAACCUUGAACAUAGACUGCUGACACCCUGUGGAAGCCAUAGGAAUUGCAUCCAGGAAGCUAAUCUUAUAAGAGGAUGGUCUCUCAAAAAAUUAUUUCCAGAAGGUUUUCUUAGAAUUUUCUCCUACCAUAUCUAUUGUGUUAUAUUCGCCUGCGUUAUUUUAACAUUUCUACAAACUUCAAAGUGUUUUCUUUCCAAUGGUACCAAUUAUAUGCAUAUCCUGGCUUCAGGGCCUGAGCAACAGGCAGUUUACUCUGGGCGCGUCAUUCAGGCGGAAAUUGAGAAAAAAGGUGCCUAGCCCUAAGAAGAUAAGGAUUUAGCCAGCAGACCACGAUUUCUACUAGCCUGGUCGCAAAAACCAUCAAGCACUGUGAUGAAACUGGCUGUCAUGAGGACUGCCACAGGAAUGGAAGUCCCAGAGUUACCUCUGUUGCAGAGGAUAAAUUAAUUCGAGUUACCAGCCUCAGAAAUUGCAGCCCAAAUAAGUGCUUCAGAGUUCAAGUAACAGACACAUCUCAACAUCAACUGUUCAGAGGAGCCUGUGUGAAUCAGGCCUUCAUAGUUGAAUGCUGCAAAGAAACCACUUCUAAAGGACACCAAUAAGAAGAAGAGACUUGCUUGGGCCAAGAAACACGAGCAAUGGACAUAAGACCGGUGGACAUUUUUUCUUUGGUCUGGAGUCGAAAUUGGCCCCGAGAGUAAUGUUGGGGUCCAGAAUGUCGACCACUGGAACCCAACAGUGCUCCUCUUGGCCAUAACCCUCCCAGUCCACCAGGUGCUGGAGCUGACCCCCACGACCCAGCUCCUGGUUGGUCCUCUCCACCUACCCGUUGGACUUGGCCAGUACCCUGUGUAAGGGAAAGCAGGUCUUCCAGCAUCCUGGUACCAAGGCAGUGAUUUUAUGACGUUGGAGCCACGGGACACCCAGGAUGAUUUUGUGAAUGGGUGCAGUGAUGAUGAGGAAGGGAAGGCAUUCUUGGUGCAAGGGUCCCACAGUGAGGGUGAGUGGUGCUGUGAUGUGCGUGAUAGUGUCGGAUCCCAAUGGUCGAUUAUCCAGGGCUUGGACCAGAAAAGGAGAGGAGAGCAGGUCUGAGGUGAUGUUCAGGGAGGAGACGAGGGUCUGAUCGAUGAAAUUCCAUUUCCACAACAGCUGUAGAGACAACACCAGCCAGUAAAAUGGAAACCAGGAAGGAUUGGCAGAAAACGAUGAAGAAGGAAUACUUACGCCUACCCUGGGAGACGGAUGAUCAAGGGGCAUUCCAUCCAGCGGACGGAAUGAAGCGGCGCUCCGUACACUACUCCGAAGGGGGCUGCGCGAGGAGGUCCAAAUGGAACUGACAUGUCAGGACGACGAUCUCUCCUUGGACGCACUCAUCGUGAUGGCCAUCCGGUUGGAUAAUCUACUUCAGGAGCGUCGGUAUCCACAUCACUUCUCUCCCUCCCUCAGUGAACAAUCUGUAGCAGAGCCUGGACUUAUGGAGGCUUCAGCAGUGUCCAAUACAUCCCAACUCAGGAUCCACGAGAGCAGUGGGACGGUCACGUGAUCUUCCAUCUCCAGGGGCAGUGUGUCCUGGGUUAUCAGCCGGCCCUGGCUCCGUGGACUCUGAGCCAGACCGAGGCCCCUGGGGUGUACGAAUGGUUCCGGCACUCAGAAGAGGUUUGGAGUGAUGCUCAUGUGAGGCUCCAGCGUGCCGUCCAUCGCCAGAUGGAGCUGUCCAGAGGUUUGACAUCGCUGGUUUUUACUAACCAUCGGUCCUGGCAUUCAUCAUUACGCGCACCUGGCAUUCAUCAUUUCACUGAUUACUUCCCCAAUAUCUGUCACUCCCGUAGUUCUAUUCCCCAUGCAGUAUUGACUAUGUGUUCCAUAUUUGUACGCUACUCGUGUUUCUUGUAUUGUUCCAUUUAUUAUUAAACUCACCCCUGCACUUGCUUACCAACUCCCAGCAUCUACGUUACAGCACCACUAUGGAAGUUACUCGAAUCUGGCUUAUUGUGAGGUCAAUAACUCUGGUAAAUACAUCAUGGCAAGAAACAUAUUGUUUUUAAUCAAAUCAAUUGUAGUACUAGCAAGCUAUCAAAUUUCUCAUCUUCGCACUCUCCUUCUUAAAUUGAACAGAACAUAGGCUAUAGGCUAGUCCAUGUUCUGGACUAGGCCUAAUCAAAACCUAUUUUUGGAAGAAAACUUUGACUGCCACGUAGACCUACACAGGUUAGGCAGCACACAAAAAAGUUUUUGAUCAGCAAGAGCAGAGCAAGCCUGGCCUCAGGGUUGGAAUAUCCAUUGCAGUGUGCAAUGCAGCCUAGUUUUAUU